rnacentral:rRNA from 1 species
UUUUCAGGGAAGAAUAAAUGACGUGUACCUGAAGAAUAAGCAUCGGCUAACUCCGUGCCAGCAGCCGCGGUAAGACGGAGGAUGCAAGUGUUAUCCGGAAUCACUGGGCGUAAAGCGUCUGUAGGUGGUCAAAUAAGUCAACUGUUAAAUCUUGAAGCUUAACUUCAAAAUCGCAGUCGAAACUAUUAGACUAGAGUAUAGUAGAGGUAAAGGGAAUUUCCAGUGGAGCGGUGAAAUGCGUAGAUAUUGGAAAGAACACCAAUGGCGAAGGCACUUUACUGGGCUAUUACUAACACUCAGAGACGAAAGCU